UACGUAGGUGGCAAGCGUUGUCCGGAUUUACUGGGCGUAAAGAGCGCGCAGGCGGUCGUUCAAGUCGCGUGUGAAAGCCCCCGGCUCAACUGGGGAGGGUCACGCGAUACUGAUCGACUCGAAGGCAGGAGAGGGUAGUGGAAUUCCCGGUGUAGUGGUGAAAUGCGUAGAGAUCAGGCGGAACACCCGUGGCGAAGGCGGCCAGCUGGGCCGUCCCUGACGCUGAGGCGGCGAAGGCGUGGGGAGCGAACGGG
rnacentral:rRNA from 1 species